GGCGACCGGCGCACGGGUGAGUAACGCGUAUGCAACUUGCCUAUCAGAGGGGGAUAACCCGGCGAAAGUCGGACUAAUACCGCAUGAAGCAGGGGCCCCGCAUGGGGAUAUUUGCUAAAGAUUCAUCGCUGAUAGAUAGGCAUGCGUUCCAUUAGGCAGUUGGCGGGGUAACGGCCCACCAAACCGACGAUGGAUAGGGGUUCUGAGAGGAAGGUCCCCCACAUUGGUACUGAGACACGGACCAAACUCCUACGGGAGGCAGCAGUGAGGAAUAUUGGUCAAUGGGCGUAAGCCUGAACCAGCCAAGUCGCGUGAGGGAUGAAGGUUCUAUGGAUCGUAAACCUCUUUUAUAAGGGAAUAAAGUGCGGGACGUGUCCCGUUUUGUAUGUACCUUAUGAAUAAGGAUCGGCUAACUCCGUGCCAGCAGCCGCGGUAAUACGGAGGAUCCGAGCGUUAUCCGGAUUUAUUGGGUUUAAAGGGUGCGUAGGCGGCCUUUUAAGUCAGCGGUGAAAGUCUGUGGCUCAACCAUAGAAUUGCCGUUGAAACUGGGGGGCUUGAGUAUGUUUGAGGCAGGCGGAAUGCGUGGUGUAGCGGUGAAAUGCAUAGAUAUCACGCAGAACCCCGAUUGCGAAGGCAGC
rnacentral:rRNA from 1 species